AGUGAACGCUGGCGGUAGGCCUAACACAUGCAAGUCGAACGGCAGCACAGUAAGAGCUUGCUCUUACGGGUUGCGAGUGGCGGACGGGUGAGGAAUACAUCGGAAUCUACAUUUUCGUGUGGGAUAACGUAGGGAAGCUUACGCUAAUACCGCAUACUACCUACGGGUGAAAGCAGGGGAUCUUCGGACCUUGCGCGAUUGAAUGAGCCGAUGUCGGAUUAGUUAGUUGGCGGGGUAAAGGCCCACCAAGGCGAGGAUCCGUAGCUGGGCUGAGAGGAUGAUAAGCCACACUGGAGCUGGGACACGGUCCAGACUCCUACGGGAGGCAGCAGUGGGGAAUGUUGGGCAAUGGGCGCAAGCCUGAUCCAGCCGUACCGCGUGGGUGAAGAAGGCCUUCGGGUUGUAAAGCCCUUUUGUUGGGAAAGAAAAGCAGCAGGUUAAUACCCCGCUGUUCUGACGGUACCCAAAGAAUAAGCACCGGCUAACUUCGUG
rnacentral:rRNA from 1 species